rnacentral:rRNA from 1 species
GACGAACGCUGGCGGCGUGCCUAACACAUGCAAGUUGAGCGACGAACCAGGGCUUGCCCUGGGGCAAAGCAGCGAACGGGUGAGUAACACGUGGGUAACCUACCCCGAUAACCGGGACAACCCGAGGAAACUCGGGCUAAUACCGGAUGUGCUCACUGAACUUCGGUUCAGUGCGUAAAGGAAGCUUCGGCCUCCGCAUCGGGAGGGGCCCGCGGCCCAUUAGCUAGUUGGUGAGGUAACGGCUCACCAAGGCCGCGAUGGGUAGCUGGUCUGAGAGGACGAUCAGCCACACUGGGACGGAGACACGGCCCAGACUCCUACGGGAGGCAGCAGUGGGGAAUCUUGCGCAAUGCGCGAAAGCGUGACGCAGCAACGCCGCGUGGGGGAAGAAGGCCUUCGGGUUGUAAACCCCUUUCAGGAGGGACGAAGGUUCGGCGGUGAAUAGCCGUCCGGACUGACGGUACCUCCACAAGAAGCCCCGGCUAACUACGUGCCAGCCGCCGCCGUAA